rnacentral:rRNA from 1 species
AAUAUUUCACAAUGGGGGCAACCCUGAUCCAGCCAUGCCGCGUGUGUUAAGAAGGUCUUCGGAUUGUAAAGCACUUUAAGUUGGGAGGAAGGGCUUUAGGUUAAUACACUGAAGUUUUGACGUUACCAACAGAAUAAGCACCGGUUAACUCUGUUCCAGCAGCCGCGGUAAUACAGAGGGUGCAAGCGUUAAUCGGAAUUACUGGGCGUAAAGCGCGCGUAGGUGGUUCAGUAAGAUGGGUGUGAAAUCCACGGGCUUAACCUGGGAACUGCUUUCAUAACUGAUGAACUAGAGUACGGUAGAGGGUAGUGGAAUUUCCUGUGUAGCGGUGAAAUGCGUAGAUAUAGGAAGGAACACCAGUGGCGAAGGCGACUACCUGGACUGAUACUGACACUGAGGUGCGAAAGCGUAGGGAGCAAACA